ACGACUCAUUCCGAGUUUACUCGGAAUGGAUAGCCAGGAUUUAUCUUGGUUAUAACACGCUAGCCCCCUUGUACGAUCAAACGAGGGGUGAAGACAUAGUCUAUACCACAAGUGAUUGUGGACAAAUAUGACGGUCCGUACACCUACGGGUGGCUGCAGUCAAGAACAUUCGACAAUGGGCGAAAGCCUGAUCGAGCGACGCCGCGUGCAGGAUGAAGGCCUUCGGGUCGUAAACUGCUUUUAACUGGGAACAAGUCCGGCCCUUUCGGGAUGGAAUUUUUUGAGUGAAAAUUUUCUUUUUCGAGAGGGCCGGAUUGAGCGUACCAGUGGAAUAAGGAGCUGCAAACUUCGUGCCAGCAGCCGCGGUAAUACGAAGGCUCCAAGCGUUAUCCGGAUUUAUUGGGCGUAAAGGGUCUCCAGGCUGUUUUGUUAGUCCGGCGUUAAAUCUCACCGCUUAACGGGGAGAGUGCGUUGGAUACGGCAAAACUUGAGGCAAGAAGAGGCAUACGGAACUCAUGGGGUAGGGGGGAAAUCCGUUGAUAUCAUGGGGAACACCAAAUGCGAAGGCAGUAUGCUGGUCUUGUCCUGACGCUCAUGAGACGAAAGCGUGGGGAGCGAAUAGGAUUGACACUCGUCCCGGUAUUCAUUUGCUUAAAAAUAAAUGAAGACCGCGGACUCGCUAAGAGAAAAAGGAGAACGAAAGUGAAAUGUUUUAUCAAGAGUUCAAGCAAAGAAGCAAUUCACUCUGAUGUGGUUGAAUUUAUCUAUACACUUGGGAGUAUUCAAGGCAUUUCUGACAAUGGCGAUUUAGUUAUUGUAGAGGUGCUGCGAGAGGAUCUUUCUAAGUUAGAAGAAUAUUGUUCAGCGCAUGGAUUGGAACUUGAGAAAACAUUAGGUUUUUCUUUCUAGCGAACCGCAGGGUAUGCGGUGAGUCUGAUUCUCCGAAGCUCGAAAGAGCGAAGGAGGAAAACUAGUCCCCCCGAUGUGCGAUUCGCAUAACGGGGAUAAAAAACCUAUCCCGAUUUUGUAUGAAUCCGCCAUAGGCGGAGAGUCUACAAAAUCGAGGACCCGCCAAAGCCGUGAGGCGACGGCGGGGCUAUAUUCGGGAAAACCCUACUUUGUGAAAACGAAGGGGCAACCCGCAGGGAAGUCCGAUGCAACAGCGGACCCCUCAGAGACUAUACGCUGGGCCCGAAAUAAAACUCGGCGGCGAGUGAGUUACUCGCUCGCCCAAAUUUUUCUUUCGGUGAUGAUAUAGUCCGAACUCGGCCGUAAUGCCGAGAAACGAGCAGAAAUGUCUCGUUCCGCAAUUUAAAAUUGAAAAUUUAGAAUUUAAAAUUUCAAUUUUGUUGCGAGCAACAAAAUUGUAGAUACCCUAGUAGUCCACGCCCUAAACGAUGCAGACUCGUCAUUGGAAGUAUCGACCCUUUCAGUGGCCAAGCUUACGCGUUAAGUCUGCCGCCUGGGAAGUACGGCCGCAAGGCUAAAACUCAAAGGAAUAGACGGGAGUUCGCACAAGCGGUGGUUCAUGAUGUGAACUGUUCCCUUAAGUGGGGUAACGAACGCAACCCCCAUCCCAUGUUACAAGUGUCAUGGGAAACUGCCUCCGUUUAGGGGGAGGAAGGUGGGGAUGACGCGAGAUCAGCGUGGCCCUCUGAUACCCUGGGCUACACGCAUGAAACAAUGGAGCCGACAGAGCGUCGCGAAGCCGCAAGGCGGAGCCAAUCGCAUCAAACGGCCCCUCAGUUCAGAUUGGAGUCUGCAACUCGACUCCAUGAAGAAGGAAUCGCUAGUAAACGCGGAUCAGCUAUGCCGCGUUGAAUACGUUCUCGAACUUUGUACUCACCGCCCGUCACGUCAAGAGAGCCGGUAGUAGCCGAAACCCGGGGUCAGCCCGGACUAAGCUAAGAUCGGUGAUAGGGACGAAGUCGUAACAAGGCAUCGGUAGCGGAAGCUGUCGAUGGAACAUUUCUUUU
rfam:Parcubacteria bacterium GW2011_GWA2_47_10 TX72_C0015, whole genome shotgun sequence.